CAGCAGCCACGGUAAUACAGAGGUCUCAAGCGUUGUUCGGAUUCAUUGGGCGUAAAGGGUGCGUAGGCGGUCGGGUAAGUCGGAUGUGAAAUCCUGGGGCCCAACCUCAGAACUGCAUUCGAUACUGCCUGGCUAGAGGACUGGAGAGGAGACUGGAAUUCACGGUGUAGCAGUGAAAUACGUAGAUAUCGUGAGGAAGACCAGCGGCGAAGGCGGGUCUCUGGACAGUUCCUGACGCUGAUGCACGAAGGCCAGGGGAGCAAACGGGAUUAGAUACCCCAGUAGUCCCUGUCUCUUAUAC
rnacentral:rRNA from 1 species